UAAGGAAUAUUGGUCAAUGGGGGGAACCCUGAACCAGCCAUGCCGCGUGCAGGAAGACGGCCCUACGGGUUGUAAACUGCUUUUGCACGGGAAUAACCCCCCGGUAUGUAUACCGGGCUGAAUGUACCGUGAGAAUAAGGAUCGGCUAACUCCGUGCCAGCAGCCGCGGUAAUACGGAGGAUCCGAGCGUUAUCCGGAAUUAUUGGGUUUAAAGGGUGCGUAGGCGGCGCGCUAAGUCAGGGGUGAAAGACGGUGGCUCAACCAUCGCAGUGCCUUUGAUACUGGCGCGCUUGAAUGUACCUGAGGUAGGCGGAAUGUGGCAAGUGGCGGUGAAAUGCAUAGAUAUGCCACAGAACACCGAUUGCGAAGGCAGCUUACCAAAGUACGAUUGACGCUGAGGCACGAAAGCGUGGGGAUCGAACAGGAUUAGAUACCCUGGUAGUCCACGCCCUAAACGAUGAACACUCGAUGUCGGCGAUAGACAGUCGGCGUCCAAGCGAAAGCGUUAAGUGUUCCACCUGGGGAGUACGCCCGCAAGGGUG
rnacentral:rRNA from 1 species